rnacentral:lncRNA from 1 species
AGUGUAGGGAAGCAGCAGAGACACCCUAGUGCUGCUGCCUUCACCGGGGGCUUUCAGAACUAGCUCCAUUCAGGGCCAGGCUGUCAGAGACAGCAUCCCAGUAGAGAAGGCAAAAGGAAAGCUGCAUCUACACUCCCACAAGCAGGCACUGCAACUGAGACCCACUGACUCCUUGUUACUGCAUGCUGCUCUCCUUGUAAUUAUACAGGCCGUCUCAGGGUGGGGAGUAAGAGGCAGAGGAAGGGAAAGGAAGAAGUGGGAAAAGACUGCAUUUGCACCUCUCUGCUUGCUGACAGAAGGAUCUGACCAGGCACAUGGGAAUGGAAUUCACUGAAGACAAGGAUUUUUCACCUCAGAGCCAAGGAUGAAAUGGAAAGUCAAGCAUGCAAGAACUGAGCAAGACAAGACAGAAUAAUUAUUCACAAAUGGACAGAAGAACAUUCCAGGAUUCAUUUUCCAACUUGUGUGGAAUUGGAUACAGUUGCUGGAGAGGCUGAUGUGCUCAGAAAGCUCCUCAGCCACCACUUUUGAUUCUGACAGAGAUCGUGAAUCAGAGCCCUCAGCUGCUGCAGUUCACAGCCAGGGAUAUUUGUGUAAACUGAAAUCAAUAAUGAUUUAAAAGGAGGUACCAGGCCCUGGGCUCUGGGCAUGCCACCCAGCCGGCUGCCAUGACAGAGAGGGGAUGAAUCACCAAGACAGGAAUCUCUGACCCCACCUCUCCAUAAAUUGUCAGAGCUCUUGAUCCUGCACCCUUGGAUAUCUGCCUCAUCCUGAGCUGCACCAGUGUCAACAUUGGAGCUUAAAACCAAAGGGAUCUACAGCAUAAGUGUACCAGAGUUCUGUAUUUUUAAAAAUAAAAAGACUCCGCACGUAAAAUAAUACUUUUAGUCUAAAGAGAUUGCUAUUGUGUAUAUGACACUUUCAAUAGUUUGUGAU